rnacentral:rRNA from 1 species
GAUCCUGGCUCAGGAUGAACGCUGGCGGCGUGCCUAACACAUGCAAGUCGAACGGAGUCGACUUGGAAAAUCCUUCGGGAUUGGAAUUCUCGACUUAGUGGCGGACGGGUGAGUAACGCGUGAGCAAUCUGCCUUUGAGAGGGGGAUAACAGUCGGAAACGGCUGCUAAUACCGCAUAAAGCAUCAAAUUCGCAUGUUUUUGAUGCCAAAGGAGCAAUCCGCUUUUA